UCUCUCUCUCUCUCUCUCUCUCUCUCUCUCUCUCGUUCCAGCAAAUUCCAAUCCUCUCUCACUUGGCGAAGAUUCUCUCUCCCUCUCUCUCUAGGAAGGUCGACGAUGUUGACGAUGGCUCGCUGUCUCUCCCCUUCCCUCGCCCUCCCCAAGACCUCCUCCUCCCUCCUCCUCGCCCUCCGCGCCCACUCCAGCCACUCCUCCUCCUCCUCCUCUCCGGACUUCGUCGUCGUCGGCGGUGACUCCUCCUCCUCCGACCCCCUCCUCGGCAAGCUCGAGGACGUCAUCCACCACCUCAUUGUCCGCCGAUCCGAGCCCGACUGGCUCCCCUUCCGCCCCGGCUCCUCCUACUGGGUCCCCCCACGCUCCAAGUCCCGCGGCAUCGCCCAGCUCAUCGGCAGGCUCGCCUCCUCCUCCUCCCCCCUCGCCGACUCCCUCCUCUCCUCCUCCUCCUCCUCCUGCGCCGCCGCCUCUCCCCACGGCUGGCCCUCCUCUUCCUUCUUCAUCCACGGCGCGCUUCCGUCUGCUUAUCCUGAGGAAGCUGUGCAGACAUUAGAUACCGAAUCUCAGUCUGAGGAUGAGGAAGGAUGAAGCUACUGCAUCCCGCUUUGGAGCUUGCAUCGGAGGUGACACAGCCUCUCCUUUCUCUGGGUUGGUUUCGUGUCUCAGCGACCUUCUGAUGAGAACUAGACGAAGGCCAAAGGAUGCUGAUGUAUCAACUGACUGACAGGCGAAGUGGUCAGAGGGAGGCUUGUACAGAUGACCUGGAUAAUAGCUAGCAAAAGGCAGCGUAGUUUCUUCAAGACACUGUUGUUCUUCAUGAUGAUUGCCGCUCGAUCAAAAUUUGUGGUUCUUCCUUGUACUGCUAUAAAGUCAUGUAAGAUGUUUGUUUCUCAUGGUUUGUACAUAACGUGAAAUCUUUUCUUUCGGUGAGAACUCGUAAGUGUAAUUUAUACACAACAUUCAUAUUUGUGUGGGUUUUAGCUC